rnacentral:rRNA from 1 species
AUGGGCGAUGAAGCACCUCAUGAGAUAAAAAUAUUAGCUAAAGAGCCAAACUUGGUUGCUACGAAGUAUAGUAGCUACACUAUAAAUGGGACAGACUUUCAUACACAAUCAUAUGAUGAGGGCCGGUCAUUUCAGAGUAGUGGAGUAGCUCUUGUUGCACAAACCACAUCCUUUGCAAAAGGAAAAGGUGACAAUAUUAGUGUAAGAAACAAGACCUAUUAUGGCAUUAUAAAGGAAAUUCUUGAGUUGAAUUAUCAACAUGAAGGGAAAGUAGUGUUGUUCAAAUGUGACUGGGUUGAUAAUCGUGUAGAAGAUGAAUGGGUGCAAACUGAUCAGUUUGGAAUUACUUCUGUGAAUUUCAAGCAUUUGUUCAAUACCGGUGAGAAAAUAUCAGACGAGCCCUUCAUAUUAGCCACACAAGCAACUCAAGUUUACUAUGUUGAAGAUCCCAUUGAUGCUGAGUGGUCUACUGUUGUUGUUCCAUCAUUAUAUGACAUAGAA